rnacentral:rRNA from 1 species
UACGGAGGGGGCGAGCGUUAUUCGGAAUUACUGGGCGUAAAGGGCGCGUAGGCGGUACUUCAAGUCAGGCGUGAAAGCCCCGGGCUCAACCUGGGAACCGCGCUUGAGACUGGAGAACUAGAGUUCGGGAGAGGAUGGUGGAAUUCCCAGUGUAGAGGUGAAAUUCGUAGAUAUUGGGAAGAACACCGAUGGCGAAGGCAGCCAUCUGGACCGACACUGACGCUGAGGCGCGAAAGCGUGGGGAGCAAACAGG